rnacentral:rRNA from 1 species
UACGUAGGGACCGAGCGUUGUCCGGAAUCAUUGGGCGUAAAGAGCUCGUAGGCGGUUCGGCAAGUCAGCUGUGAAAUCUCCACGCUCAACGUGGAGGGGUCAGCUGAUACUGCUGUGACUCGAGUCCGGUAGGGGGAGUGUGGAAUUCCCCGGUGUAGCGGUGAAAUGCGCAGAUAUCGGGAGGAACACCAGUAGCGAAGGCGGCACUCUGGGCCGGUACUGACGCUGAGGAGCGAAAGCGUGGGGAGCAAACAGG